rnacentral:rRNA from 1 species
AUGUCGAAGCGGCGAAGGUCCGACGACGAGGGCGGCUCAAGAUCCAGGCGAUCUCACCGCCCGCGGCACUAUCUAUAUUUUGUCGUGGAUGACUGGACUGAUGGGUACAGCAUAUACAAAGUGGACGUGGCCGACUUGGACGGUGACCCUAGCGCCGACUUGGACUCGCAAGCUAGCCGUCUUCCCGGCCCGCCGGUGUUCCGCCUGGAGUGUUCCCACAAACGCUGCCGUAACCCACGUUUUGCCGCCCUGGGCAGCCGAAUCAUCGCCAUGGACUACCGCGAGAACAAGGCGACCACCCGCGUCCUCAUGUUCGACACGGCGACAGGAGGCGUCGCCGUGGGCCCUUGCGUCCCCGCCGAGCUACGGCGACUCUACAGGUUCGUGCCCGCCUGCAACAGUCUAUACGUCGUGGGCACUCUGACGUCAGAGGACCCGGAGUACUUCCGGUUCGGGGUGCUCGCCGCCGACGUCGACAAGGGAGGCUGGGCCUGGAACGCCGGGCUGGGCGGGCCGUGCAAUUUGUGGCAGGUCGUCUGCACCGCCGCGCACCCGGACGGCCGUACCAUCUUCUUCUCCACGUACUAUGGCAUAACCUACUCGUUCGACACCGAGACCCGCGAGUGGAAACACCAAGGCGACUGGAUGCUGCCUUUCCAAGGGCACGCCUGCUACGACGGCGAGCUGGACGCGUGGGUGGGGCUCCGCCUAGGCUCUGACGAGCUCGAGCCGGGGACCGUGUGCUGCUGCGACGUGGUGUCCGCGGGCGGCGGCGAGGGACAACCGCCGCCGUCGUGGAAGAUCGUCAAGGAGAAGAUUGUGUGCGACGACAGGGACAGGACAAUUGGCACCACGCUUACGCGUAUCGGACGCGGCACGUACUGCCUCGUCGAGUAUCGGGCGGGGAAGGGCGGUGGGCCGCCGGAAGACUCGCGCCUGUUUUACGCGACGGCGUUUAGGCUCCGGUACGACAAGGACGGGGAACUUCGAGGCACGGCGCGCCGGGCUCGUUCCUACACCAGCCCCAGAAAAUCGAGGGAUUGGAAAUUUAAUUGGUGGGCGUUCGGCAUGUGA